UACAGAGGUCUCAAGCGUUGUUCGGAUUCAUUGGGCGUAAAGGGUGCGUAGGUGGCGCGGUAAGUCGGGUGUGAAAUUUCGGAGCUUAACUCCGAAACUGCAUUCGAUACUGCCGUGCUUGAGGACUGGAGAGGAGACUGGAAUUUACGGUGUAGCGGUGAAAUGCGUAGAUAUCGUAAGGAAGACCAGUGGCGAAGGCGGGUCUCUGGACAGUUCCUGACGCUGAGGAGCGAAAGCGUGGGGAGCGAACAGG
rnacentral:rRNA from 1 species